AAAGUCGUAACAAGGUUUCCGUAGGUGAACCUGCGGAAGGAUCAUUAACACGUUAUCCACGUAUCAACCAAAACCGCGAACUAUUCUGUGUGCAAGUUCUGAGUACUUUCGUCACAUUUAACCAUUGGCGAUCCUCGGUUCUUGCAUCGUUGUCUAUUUACCUAAUCACCUUGAUGCCCGUCUGCCUCAUAAAUGCUUCUUCGAAGAAAUUCAUUGAUUCAUAUACUUGAUGGCCAGCCGUACGCAUUGCAUUUUUUCUCUUUCUAUUCUUGUGGAGGACGAACCGUUUACCGGUGAGUUCUCUAACACAAACUCAGUAUAACUCUUAGCAACGGAUAUCUUGGUUUCC
rnacentral:misc_RNA from 1 species